UUUCCUACCGUGUGCCCCCAUCACACGCACGCAAUUCAAUUCCUCAUCCCCUCACUCUCCCCCAAAACCCAGAUACGAGCUUAGUGCCCCUGACCAACGCCCAGCUCAACGUUGAGCUCCUCCCCCUCGGUAAGCUCUGUUGCUAGCCUCUCCCUCUCUUGUCCACUCUCUCUCUUCUCUCUCUCUGAGCUUCACCGCCGCCUGGAGCUGCAAGCCUGCAGCCACACAGUGCACUUCUUCCCUCAGUGGCCUCUAUUUCUCGUGCAGUAAGCCUUCAUUUCAUUAUUCGCCUUCCUCGUGCGAAGACAGAGAGACGGAGCAUUGACGACAGAGAGAGGGGCAAAGAGAGUGGGGAGAUGAAAAUUCAUCCGUGUGGAAGCAAGCAUGUAGAAGAUGAGGAGCUACUCUGUAUCGGGUUGUAUAAAACGAGGGCUUAUUUUGUAUCAGUGGGAGGAACAACAAGUAGAGAUAGGUUUCACUAUGAUUUUCAAUGGAUUGUGGUUUGAUUGUGAGUUGAUUUUGAUUUGAUUGUGGGUUGAUUUUGGAUAAGAGAUGGAGAUGGAGAUGACCGACAGAGAUGGGGGAGAUCGGUGACAGAGAUGGGCGACGACGGAGCACAGAUGCUUGGCGACAGUGGCAGGAGAAGAUGAGAGGGCUGAGAAAUGCUGAGGGCUCACGGUUUGGGAUCUUACAGAUGAAAUAAUCUUGUGUGAUGCAGUCUACUGACUUAAUGUGAAAUAAGUGAUGUGUCAAAAUCUCAUUUGGUGGCUGUUUAUGGAGAAUAGUAGAUCGAUCGCUGCACAGCGGUUCUGUAUAUCAUAUACCAAAGUGCUUCAGAAAAGAAAAAUAGAGCAAUGGCAGACAUUCAUUCAUCCAUCGAAAUCUAUGAUUGUUGCGGAAACUCUUGUAUUGCUGAUGUUGUUGUAUGGGCACUUAAGCAUAACUAUAAUUGUGUCAGAUUCGUGUGUUUAAAGAGGAAUAGCUUCGAAUUUAAUUAUUCAGAUUUUCAUAUCA